rnacentral:misc_RNA from 1 species
UCCGGUUUGUCACCGGCAGUCUCGCAUGAGUCCCCGGCCGAACCGCUGGCAACAUGCGACGGGGGUUGCGCUCGUUGCGGGACUUAACCCAACAUCUCACGACACGAGCUGACGACAGCCAUGCACCACCUGUGAACCUGCCCCGAAGGGAAGGUGUGUUUCCACACCGGUCAGGUACAUGUCAAGCCCAGGUAAGGUGGGGAUGACGUAUGCGUAACAGAA